rnacentral:misc_RNA from 1 species
GAAAUGCGAUAAGUAAUGUGAAUUGCAGAAUUCAGUGAAUCAUCGAAUCUUUGAACGCACAUUGCGCCCGCCAGUAUUCUGGCGGGCAUGCCUGUUCGAGCGUCAUUACAACCAUCAAGCCCCCGGCUUGUGUUGGGGACCUGCGGCUGCCCGCAGGCCCUGAAAAACAGUGGCGGGCUCGCUGUCACACCGAGCGUAGUAGCAUACAUUCUCGCUCAGGGCGUGCUGCGGGUUCCGGCCGUUAAACGACCUUCAUAACCCAAGGUUGACCUCGGAUCAGGUAGGAAGACCCGCUGAACUUAAGC